rnacentral:rRNA from 1 species
GGUAUGGGAUGAGCUUGCGUCCGAUUAGCUAGUUGGCGGGGCAACGGCCCACCAAGGCGACGAUCGGUAGCCGGCCUGAGAGGGUGAUCGGCCACAUUGGGACUGAGAUACGGCCCAGACUCCUACGGGAGGCAGCAGUAGGGAAUAUUGCACAAUGGGGGAAACCCUGAUGCAGCAACGCCACGUGUGGGAAGAAGCAUUUCGGUGUGUAAACCACUGUCAUGGGGGAAUAAGGCCCGCCUCCGGGCGGGAUUGAAUGUACCUUGAGAGGAAGCACCGGCAAACUUCGUGCCAGCAGCCGCGGUAAUACGAGGGGUGCAAGCGUUGUUCGGAAUUACUGGGCGUAAAGGGAGCGUAGGCGGAGAUUCAAGCGGAUUGUACAAUCCCGGGGCCCAACCCCGGCUCUGCAGUCCGAACUGGAUCUCUUGGAUAGUUCAGGGGCAGGC